rnacentral:rRNA from 1 species
AAGCUUGCUUCUAUGACGUUAGCGGCGGACGGGUGAGUAACACGUGGGCAACCUGCCUGUAAGACUGGGAUAACUUCGGGAAACCGAAGCUAAUACCGGAUAGGAUCUUCUCCUUCAUGGGAGAUGAUUGAAAGAUGGUUUCGGCUAUCACUUACAGAUGGGCCCGCGGUGCAUUAGCUAGUUGGUGAGGUAACGGCUCACCAAGGCAACGAUGCAUAGCCGACCUGAGAGGGUGAUCGGCCACACUGGGACUGAGACACGGCCCAGACUCCUACGGGAGGCAGCAGUAGGGAAUCUUCCGCAAUGGACGAAAGUCUGACGGAGCAACGCCGCGUGAGUGAUGAAGGCUUUCGGGUCGUAAAACUCUGUUGUUAGGGAAGAACAAGUACGAGAGUAACUGCUCGUACCUUGACGGUACCUAACCAGAAAGCCACGGCUAACUACGUGCCAGCAGCCGCGGUAAUACGUAGGUGGCAAGCGUUAUCCGGAAUUAUUGGGCGUAAAGCGCGCGCAGGCGGUUUCUUAAGUCUGAUGUGAAAGCCCACGGCUCAACCGUGGAGGGUCAUUGGAAACUGGGGAACUUGAGUGCAGAAGAGAAAAGCGGAAUUCCACGUGUAGCGGUGAAAUGCGUAGAGAUGUGGAGGAACACCAGUGGCGAAGGCGGCUUUUUGGUCUGUAACUGACGCUGAGGCGCGAAAGCGUGGGGAGCAAACAGGAUUAGAUACGCUGGUAGUC